rnacentral:rRNA from 1 species
CCUGAAGGAACGUUGAAGACGACGACGUUGAUAGGCCGGGUGUGUAAGCGCAGCGAUGCGUUGAGCUAACCGGUACUAAUGAACCGUGAGGCUUAACCCUACAACGCCGAAG